UGGCACAUACGGGGGCGAAAGCGCAUACUAUGGAGGCUCGUCACGUGUGGAGGAGUUGGGGCUACUGCUGGUUGCUGCGGCGCUGGGAUCUCCAAGGGUUUUUUUUCUUAUUUUUCUUGUUGGGCCGCUUCGUCAGUAGGCUAGGGUUUUAGAAAUUUAGGUUGGGUCUAGGUUGAAUUUGGGUUUACGUUUGGGCAAGGUUAAUGGACAUAAAAAUUUUUGUUUAUAUUUUUAUUUUGAUUUGAUAUAUAUUUUUAUUAAAGGUCGGGCAAAUAUUAGGUCUUACAGCUGCCCCUCUUUGCUUAUUGUCUUGUAAUGAUAAUAGAG
rnacentral:lncRNA from 1 species